AACGCAUCUUGCGCUCCUUGGUAUUCUGAGGAGCAUGCCUGUUUGAGUGUCAUUAUAUUCUCUCGACUCUAUAUUAAUUUUUAUAGAUGUUGGAUUAUGGGGGGUUUUUUUUAUUUUUUAUUUUUAAAAAUUACAUUGCCGGAGUAUUUUCUAUCGGCUCCCCUUAAAUGAAUUAGCAAGGUUGUUGAUCUUGUGGUUCAUUGGUGUGAUAGUGAUCACCAUGGCCAUGGGUAAUCAGGCAUUGAAAUAUUAUGCAUAGUCUUUGCUUAUAGUAGUCUCUAAUCAAGAGACAAGCUUCUUGAUGAUUUGACCUCAAAUCAGGUAGGACUACCCGCUGAACUUAA
rnacentral:misc_RNA from 1 species